UUCAGGUUGUCUUAGAUGUCGGGAAUGGCUCCUAAAAGAGAACCCUCCAUUAAGAAGACUCCUUCACCAGUGGCUGAAGCACGACUUGGUCCGCCUUUCCCCUGUCUGCCAGCAACACCUGCAGCUCCGAAACCAAUUUCAGAGCAGAAGCCAAGGAUGCUGCGUCCUUCUGAUUCACCAUUCGACCCCAGCACUAUGGAGAUUGAAUUUAACCUGGACCAGAUUCAUGAGUUUAAGGAGGCGUUCCUGCUGUUCGACAGGACAGGAGAUGGGAAGAUCAGCUACAGCCAGUGUGGCGACGUGAUGCGGGCCUUGGGACAGAACCCUGUCAACGCUGAGGUGCUUAAAGUGCUGGGCAACCCCAAAUCUGAGGAGAUGAACACCAAGAUGCUCGACUUUGAGCAGUUCCUGCCCAUGUUCCAGGCCAUCGCCAAAAACAAAGAUCAGGGCUCCAUGGAGGAUUUUGUGGAAGGACUCCGUGUUUUUGACAAGGAAGGCAACGGCACAGUAAUGGGAGCAGAAUUACGUCAUGUGCUCACCACGUUAGGUGAGAAAAUGUCAGAAGAGGAAGUGGAGACACUGCUGGCUGGACAUGAAGAUGCAAAUGGAUGCAUCAAUUAUGAAGCAUUUGUUCGUCACAUCAUGUCAGGCUGAGGGCCGGUACGGGCAUUGUCCAAACCCGGGGGAUGGCACCUCCAGGCUUUCCUGCUACUUAGUUCCUAGACACUAAACUCGUCCGGAUGGUAAUGAACGGAUAAAGAGCGCCACAGUUUUUUUUUUGUUUUUUUUUCAUUUUCGCAGAAUCACAUUCCUAUAUAUUUCCAUUUAGCUUUACCAGCUCACCCCAACCUUUUACAUGAGUUUAUUUUACAGUUUUAAUUUAAGAAGUGCCUUUACAUUCCCUAGAAAAGACCAUAAAGCACCAUUUUUAGAUCUAUUCACAUGUAUAAACCUUGUAUUCAUUGAGGAUUAUUUGUGCUUGCAUAGUUUGUAACAUUUCGAAAUGCACCAUAAGCUGUAACGAUGUAACUAAAAUUGGGCAAGACAAUAAUAUAUAUCGUAUAUACAUAUUUCUAUGACUUGCUUUGGAUUAAAUGUCCCAGAUUGAUUCAUAAAAAUAUCAAAAGCUGUAGUUGGAAACAUUUCAAAGCAUUCCCCAUGUUAUAAAUUUGGCCCAAAAUUUGUUGCUGCAUUUAAAUAAAUGUGUUUUCCUGAAA